UACGUAAGGGGCAAGCGUUAUCCGGAUUUACUGGGUGUAAAGGGAGCGUAGACGGUUGUGUAAGUCAGAUGUGAAAGGCCAGGGCUCAACCCUGGGACUGCAUUUGAAACUAUGCAACUAGAGUGUCGGAGAGGUAAGUGGAAUUCCUAGUGUAGCGGUGAAAUGCGUAGAUAUUAGGAGGAACACCAGUGGCGAAGGCGACUUACUGGACGAUGACUGACGUUGAGGCUCGAAAGCGUGGGGAGCAAAC
rnacentral:rRNA from 1 species